rnacentral:lncRNA from 1 species
AGACCUAGCAAAGAGAAUCUGCAAAUCAAUGCUGAUAUCGUUGAAGAUGAUGUGACCAGUUCGCAAGCAGAGAACAUUGUUGCUAGGACUCAAGGCUCAAUGACGAUUGAGGUAUCUGAAUCCUCUGGGACACAACAGUCUCAAAUCUCAGAUGGGAAUCUUCCUUGCGAUAAAGCGCAAAAUCAGGAAUCAGCAGGACAUCAGCCAAGCAAUAUUCGAAUAAAUUUACCUCCACCCAAUGAUGAUGUUUUUGAGUCUGCAAAAAAGAAAAAAACGGCGGUAUAAGAAUGGAACCCUUUCUGCAAGACUGAAUCGGUUAUUGAAACGAAGCAGGUCAGAAAUGAGAAUGUGGGCUCAUGAAAUGCAAAAUGAGGCUUCUGAUCCUGUGGCCAUUAACUUUAUUGUUGAUGUUGUUUCAUAUGAAAUGAAUAAAUGGCUUCUGAAAUGUAGAGUAAUUUCUGACUCUGGAGAAGGUAGUAGCAGCAAUCCAUAUUUUGUCAUUUUACAUCCUAGUCCAAUAAAUAAUGCAUUGGUGACUCCGGGCACAGUCUUGAAAGUUUUUCCUAAAUGGCAAACUUUAGACCUCCUUUCACCGAAAAUGACAGUCGUUUACAAUAUCUCUCGAGUGAAGCUUAUUCCAAAUCCAUCACCAUCGAGUUUGUAUAAACCAGAAUGUAAAUCAAAACAAAUCAUUCAAGUAGUAGAUCCUCUCUGCAGCUGCUCUCGAGAUUCAGUUCUCACAAAUUGUGUUCAUAAAAUUUUAAGUAGACAAACAUUCCUCGGUCCAUUGAUUCCUGCGACCAACAGUGAUGAACUUCCGCUCCUUUGAACCAACUAACAAUCGUUUAUACUCAUCAUCUCACUCAGGUCAUCAUCAUUCUUUCGAUUUCAAUUUUGGUGCAAUACUAGUGC